AUGUGUAUAGUUCAAGGGUAGAGCAGGCAGCCCACAAAGCUGUCGGGUUGCGGGUUCGAAUCCCGCUACACAGACCA
rnacentral:tRNA from 1 species